rnacentral:lncRNA from 1 species
AAAAAUGGGACGAGGGGAUUUUUAUUUUUUUAAAAUAAUUUUUUUAGACUUUGCGCGACCAAUAUAUAUUUUUCGUCGCGCAAAAAUUUAAAAAUUUUGGCGGGUACCAAAAAUGGGACGCGGGGAUUUUUAUUUUUUUAAAAUAAUUUUUUUAGACUUUGCGCGACCAAUACUCCUAUAUUCGUCGCGCAAAAGUUUGCACGACCAAUAUUCCAAUAUUUUUCGUCGC